rnacentral:rRNA from 1 species
GGAGGAAAAGAAACUAACAAGGAUUCCCCUAGUAACUGCGAGUGAAGCGGGAAAAGCUCAAAUUUAAAAUCUGGCGGUCUUUGGCCGUCCGAGUUGUAAUCUAGAGAAGUGUUAUCCGCGCUGGACCGUGUACAAGUCUCCUGGAAUGGAGCGUCAUAGAGGGUGAGAAUCCCGUCUUUGACACGGACUGCCAGGGCUUUGUGAUGCGCUCUCAAAGAGUCGAGUUGUUUGGGAAUGCAGCUCAAAAUGGGUGGUAAAUUCCAUCUAAAGCUAAAUAUUGGCGAGAGACCGAUAGCGAACAAGUACCGUGAGGGAAAGAUGAAAAGAACUUUGGAAAGAGAGUUAAACAGUACGUGAAAUUGCUGAAAGGGAAACGCUUGAAGUCAGUCGCGUUGGCCGGGAAUCAACCUUGCUUUUGCUGGGCGUACUUUCCGGUUGACGGGUCAACAUCAAUUUUGACCGUUGGAUAAAGGCUGAGGGAAUGUGGCUUCUUCGGGAGUGUUAUAGCCCUUGGUCGCAUACAACGGUUGGGAUUGAGGAACUCAGCACGCCGCAAGGCCGGGUACUUGUACCACGUUCGUGCUUAGGAUGUUGGCAUAAUGGCUUUAAUCGACCC